rnacentral:rRNA from 1 species
UACGUAGGUGGCAAGCGUUGUCCGGAAUCACUGGGCGUAAAGCGCGCGCAGGCGGCGAUCUACGUCUGGGGUGAAAGCCCGGAGCUCAACUCCGGGACUGCCUUGGAUACGGGAUCGCUUGAGAAUUGGAGAGGCAAGGGGAAUUCCACGUGUAGCGGUGAAAUGCGUAGAGAUGUGGAGGAACACCGAUGGCGAAGGCAGCCUUCUGGGCCAAUACUGACGCUCAUGCACGAAAGCGUGGGGAGCAAACAGG